UACGGGGGGGGCAAGCGUUGUUCGGAAUUACUGGGCGUAAAGGGCGCGUAGGCGGGCGGGCAAGUCUCUCGUGAAAGCCCACGGCUCAACCGUGGAAUUGCGGGAGAUACUGCCUGUCUUGAGUCCGGUAGAGGAGGGUGGAAUUCCCAGUGUAGCGGUGAAAUGCGUAGAUAUUGGGAGGAACACCGGUGGCGAAGGCGGCUCUCUGGACCGGUACUGACGCUGAGGCGCGAAAGCUAGGGGAGUAAACGGG
rnacentral:rRNA from 1 species